CGCAGGCGUCAGCCAAUCAGAUCGCCUGCAGAUCCAGCCAAUUACGUUUAUGCAAGACCGGGGAAACAAAGAAGCAUGUGUUGCAGGCAAGCUUCAGAUACGCCCUCCAUCAAACGUUAACGCUGAUGCUCCGUGUGAAUAUACCGAUUGAGCCGAUGAAGAGGAAGACACAGAGGAAGAUGUUUCCGGCUAAUGUGCCGAAGUUAUCAAUGAUUUUGCCUUGAAUGAUGAUUCUGGAUACGUCAGCUCAACGGCAAACUCAAAUCCUAAUGGCAGAUAACCCGUCAUGAAGAACCUGCGCUUAACAGAUAUUACAAAAAUGAGAAAAUCACUCAAGGAUGCAAGAUCAAUGUUCAACUAUCCAUGC